UUUAAUUAUUCAUUUCUAUUUGCUUGAAGAAACAUUCUUACAUGACACGCAUACGUCCGUGCAUUUCCUUGUUGCAGCAACAUGAAUUAAAUAAGCCUCUUUCAACAAGUAGACCAACUCCAAGGGAUUUCUCGCUAACUUGUUUUCUCUAUGCUCUUCGCACUUUCUCUGCUCAGUUGAAGAAAAGGUAGUGCCUGGUAACCCGGAAGAUGUCAGGAACAAGACAGGAGGAUCUUUCCAGUGCUCCUUCAAGUAACUUUACAUUGUAUAUAAAAGUCACCUUAUGAAAGGUGAUGCUGUGUCAUAGUUUCUCAAAGUAACCAGUUUACAUAAUCCAUUGUGGCUUGAAUUCUCUCCAAUACUACUAUAUGGAGUCCACUGUGUCUUGAAUGUCUU
rnacentral:lncRNA from 1 species